rfam:Gregarina niphandrodes unplaced genomic scaffold scaffold00021, whole genome shotgun sequence.
GCGGUUGUGGCGCAAUGGAUAGCGUGUUGCCCUCCGGAGGCAAAGGCUACGGGUUCGAGUCCCGUCAACUGUU